GACGAACGCUGGCGGCGUGCUUAACACAUGCAAGUCGAACGGAAAGGCCCUGCUUUUGUGGGGUGCUCGAGUGGCGAACGGGUGAGUAACACGUGAGUAACCUGCCCUUGACUUUGGGAUAACUUCAGGAAACUGGGGCUAAUACCGGAUAGGAGCUCCUGCUGCAUGGUGGGGGUUGGAAAGUUUCGGCGGUUGGGGAUGGACUCGCGGCUUAUCAGCUUGUUGGUGGGGUAGUGGCUUACCAAGGCUUUGACGGGUAGCCGGCCUGAGAGGGUGACCGGCCACAUUGGGACUGAGAUACGGCCCAGACUCCUACGGGAGGCAGCAGUGGGGAAUAUUGCACAAUGGGCGGAAGCCUGAUGCAGCAACGCCGCGUGCGGGAUGACGGCCUUCGGGUUGUAAACCGCUUUCGCCUGUGACGAAGCGUGAGUGACGGUAAUGGGUAAAGAAGCACCGGCUAACUACGUGCCAGCAGCCGCGGUGAUACGUAGGGUGCGAGCGUUGUCCGGAUUUAUUGGGCGUAAAGGGCUCGUAGGUGGUUAAUCGCGUCGGAAGUGUAAUCUUGGGGCUUAACCCUGAGCGUGCUUUCGAUACGGGUUGACUUGAGGAAGGUAGGGGAGAAUGGAAUUCCUGGUGGAGCGGUGGAAUGCGCAGAUAUCAGGAGGAACACCAGUGGCGAAGGCGGUUCUCUGGGCCUUUCCUGACGCUGAGGAGCGAAAGCGUGGGGAGCGAACAGGCUUAGAUACCCUGGUAGUCCACGCUGUAAACGGUGGGUACUAGGUGUGGGGUCCAUUCCACGGGUUCCGUGCCGUAGCUAACGCUUUAAGUACCCCGCCUGGGGAGUACGGCCGCAAGGCUAAAACUCAAAGGAAUUGACGGGGCCCCGCACAAGCGGCGGAGCAUGCGGAUUAAUUCGAUGCAACGCGUAGAACCUUACCUGGGCUUGACAUGGAUCAGGAGCGCUCAGAGAUGGGUGUGCCUCUUUUGGGGUCGGUUCACAGGUGGUGCAUGGCUGUCGUCAGCUCGUGUCGUGAGAUGUUGGGUUAAGUCCCGCAACGAGCGCAACCCUUGUUCACUGUUGCCAGCACGUUAUGGUGGGGACUCAGUGGAGACCGCCGGGGUCAACUCGGAGGAAGGUGGGGAUGACGUCAAGUCAUCAUGCCCCUUAUGUCCAGGGCUUCACGCAUGCUACAAUGGCUGGUACAGAGAGUGGCGAGCCUGUGAGGGUGAGCGAAUCUCGGAAAGCCGGUCUCAGUUCGGAUUGGGGUCUGCAACUCGACCUCAUGAAGUCGGAGUCGCUAGUAAUCGCAGAUCAGCAACGCUGCGGUGAAUACGUUCCCGGGGCU
rnacentral:rRNA from 1 species